rnacentral:rRNA from 1 species
GAUGAACGCUGGCGGCGUGCCUAAUACAUGCAAGUCGAGCGAACAGACGAGGAGCUUGCUCCUCUGACGUUAGCGGCGGACGGGUGAGUAACACGUGGAUAACCUACCUAUAAGACUGGGAUAACUUCGGGAAACCGGAGCUAAUACCGGAUAAUAUAUUGAACCGCAUGGUUCAAUAGUGAAAGACGGUUUUGCUGUCACUUAUAGAUGGAUCCGCGCCGCAUUAGCUAGUUGGUAAGGUAACGGCUUACCAAGGCAACGAUGCGUAGCCGACCUGAGAGGGUGAUCGGCCGCACUGGAACUGAGACACGGUCCAGACUCCUACGGGAGGCAGCAGUAGGGAAUCUUCCACAAUGGGCGAAAGCCUGACGGAGCAACGCCGCGUGAGUGAUGAAGGUCUUCGGAUCGUAAAACUCUGUUAUUAGGGAAGAACAAAUGUGUAAGUAACUAUGCACGUCUUGACGGUACCUAAUCAGAAAGCCACGGCUAACUACGUG